CCGAACCGACUAAUGUUGAAAAAUUAGCGGAUGACCUGUGGCUGGGGGUGAAAGGCCAAUCAAACCGGGAGAUAGCUGGUUCUCCCCGAAAGCUAUUUAGGUAGCGCCUCGUGAAUUCAUCUCCGGGGGUAGAGCACUGUUUCGGCUAGGGGGCCAUCCCGGCUUACCAACCCGAUGCAAACUGCGAAUACCGGAGAAUGUUAUCACGGGAGACACACGGCGGGUGCUAACGUCCGUCGUGAAGAGGGAAACAACCCAGACCGCCAGCUAAGGUCCCAAAGUCAUGGUUAAGUGGGAAACGAUGUGGGAAGGCCCAGACAGCCAGGAUGUUGGCUUAGAAGCAGCCAUCAUUUAAAGAAAGCGUAAUAGCUCACUGGUCGAGUCGGCCUGCGCGGAAGAUGUAACGGGGCUAAACCAUGCACCGAAGCUGCGGCAGCGACACUGUGUGUUGUUGGGUAGGGGAGCGUUCUGUAAGCCUGUGAAG
rnacentral:rRNA from 2 species